rnacentral:rRNA from 1 species
UACGUAGGUGGCAAGCGUUGUCCGGAUUUAUUGGGCGUAAAGGGAACGCAGGCGGUUUUUUAAGUCUGAUGUGAAAGCCUUCGGCUUAACCGAAGUCGUGCAUUGGAAACUGGAAGACUUGAGUGCAGAAGAGGAGAGUGGAACUCCAUGUGUAGCGGUGGAAUGCGUAGAUAUAUGGAAGAACACCAGUGGCGAAGGCGGCUCUCUGGUCUGUCACUGACGCUGAGGUUCGAAAGCGUGGGUAGCGAACAGG